rnacentral:lncRNA from 1 species
UCCAUUUCCUGCCAACUCCAUGAACUCCAGCGAAGCUUCAACACUUUAACAAAUAAGAAAACUCCUCCGGUGGUUAGUUUCUUUCUUUAGUUUAGUUUUAUUUUAAUUAUUGAUUGAUACUCAUAUAUGUUAUAAUCUUAAAUCUAAUUAUUGUAAUCACUUUGGAUUUUGGUUUGCUGAUACAUUUAUUUUGGGGUUAAUUGUAGUGAUUAUUAUUAGUUGUCCGAUGACCUUUGUUAAUGCUUUAUUGUUGAUUUAAUGAUUAUUUUUUGCAUUAGUUGCUAAAUUUUAGUAAUUAUUUUGAUAGAAAACUUUAUUCUAGUGAGUUUUACAUUGUUUUGCUGAUGAUUUAUUUUAUUUACUUUACAUUGUCUCUUUCGCUAGAAAAAAGAAACAAUAAAUUAUUUACUAUUAUUGCUAUUGGGUUGUUUGCCAUUGUUUUAUUUGUUACACUUUUUGGUUUGUUUUAACUUGUUCUUUGUUGACAUCCAAUUUUGGCCCUCCACAAUUUAAUUAAUUUUCAAGAUUCUUAAGCUUCAGGCAAUUUGAAGUUAUUAUUUUAAAAAAAUAAAAAAUACUUUAGAAAUCAUUUUUUCAAGACAAUUUUCCUUUUUCCUAUAAAAUAUAUCUCUAUAUACUUAAAAUAUAUAGAUUUAUAUAAUUUUCAUUUUUUGAAUAAAUAUUUAGAAAAUAGUUUUACUAAAAAAUAAAGUUUUAAUUAAGUAUGCAUCCUAUCUCCUUUAAAAGUGAUAGCAAAUUAAUUAAAAUCUUUUCGAAAUAAUUAUUUUGUGUUGUUAAAGUUAAGAUGCUUAGGUAAUUAGUUGAGUUUAUAAUUUGUCUCGUUUCCAUUUUAUCAAAUUUAAAUUAAUUGAAGUCAAAUUGAAUUUUUAUAAAAAUGAAGCAUGGACCAGAUUCCUUCAUCCCUUUUAAUUUCCUACAAGUUUAAGCCCAAUUUAAAUCAAUAACCCGACCCACUUCAUUUCCUAAUACCCAGUACUCUGUACUCUUCUCCCUCACAUACGCACAUAGCACAGCAAACCAAGAACGAGCCUUAAUUCCCCAAAUUUCCAAUUUUCGCAGCCUCAAUUUACUCUUCUCUCCCUAGAAUUCGUACAUCGUUGUGUGCAAGGCACGAGCCUUGGUACUAUUUGAAGCUUCCAGGAAGGUUCACCAACGGUAUUAUCCCUCAAAUUCCCUUUUUCUUUUCCGAUUUCUUUCAAAAUGGUACGAAUUCGUACACUAGCUAGUUCGCAAUCCUUAUAUGUUAAGGGAUUUUGAAAAUUCUCAAAAUCCCACAUCGAACAUUUUCUCAGAAUUUGGAGAUUUUGGUACUAUAUAAACCCACCCCUUUCACUGUUCACUGGACGGUUUAUGGGAGCUGAAGAAUUGAGAGCACCCCCGGAAAGGUUUUGGGAGCUCUUAGUUCGUAGUUUAAGAUUUUAUCUGCUCUCGAUUGUCCCAGUCACAUUUUGGUGGUAAAGUUCAUUGCCUCCAAAGCUCGAGCUCCAGUCGUUGCCCAGAACUAGGUAACCUUCGUGUCAUCUUAUUAUUUUCGCCUAAUUUCUGUUAUGUAGAAUUUUGUUCGGUCAUUAGUUGCUUUAGUUUAGAAAUUAUUUUCCUUUUCUUGUAUUCUUCAGUUUAAUUACGUCCCCCAGUAGCUUAAAUUUGAUGGUUUCUUUUUGCUUUGAUUAGUAGUAUGAAUAUCUAGAGUUUUGUUCUUUCUUUGGUCAUCGUUAAUCUUCGUAUGGUCCUUUGAAUAUUGAAACUUUUCAUUCUAUUUGGUUCAUCUUCUUACUGCCCAUCAGAUUGUGUUCAUAAAACUUUUUAAGCUUUCUCCUAAUAUGUGUAUGACCCUCUUAGCUAGUUAUCCUCUUCCGUUCAUAGUUUGUUUAAGUUCCCCUUUCCUAUGUGUUUGAGUUUCAACUGUUGUCGGCCCGCCGUGGUCCAAAAUUGUUCAUGUUUGGUAUGUUCUUGAGCUUAGUCGUCUAGAUGUUCUUAAUCGUGUAUUAGUUAUCAGGUUGAGAUUUAAUCAGUUUAAUAGUAUAAAUUUCCUGUACCUUGCUUAAAGUAUAGUUGCUGCUUGGGUUAAAAAGUGAAAAAUGCUUGGUUUUUUUUUCUUAUUUAUCUUUCCAAUUUUGAAUUCUUAAACUAUGAUUAUGUACAUCCUUAUAGCUUCACUUGGUUUUCUUAUUUACGAGUUCGGAUUGGGGGUGUGUCGUGAAUCCAUAGAUUCACGUAAGUUUCAUGCUCGUAUAAGGUUUUGUUCCAAUAUGGUCAACAUGGCAUUUUUAAAAUCUUGGUCCAGCUUUUGGAUAGCCAAUUAGGUUCUUUGUUUAGCUUAAUCUUGAAAGCCAUAAUCUGAUUGUUUGCUAUGUUUGCUGCUUACUAUUUGGCCUUAGUCCUUGUUGUUUACUGUUUAGCUUUAAUUUGAUUACUUUUGAGCAAAUUUCAGCUUGUGUAGUAAAAUUCCUCUUUGAGUUUUAAGUUUUGGCCUUUAUUAUUUGGUUGUCUGCACUCUUAUCAAGCCCAGCAUAUGUGCCUAUUACUAUUUUAGUAUUUUGAUAGCUUGCAAAUAUAUGAUUGAUUCAAUGAUUAAUGGUUAAGCUUGUUGGAGUCUUUGGAUUUUAAAAUUCCUUCUUUUAAGUAUAUAUCUGUCCUCCUAGUUUAAGAUAUAGGAUGCAUUUGCUCGAUAUGAAGAUUGCAUUCUAGAUUGGAUUAGUAGCUUCGGUUAUCUGGGAAAGACAUGCUUUCAAGUUCAAAUUAGAUUUAUUGUUGUGAUCCGGUUACUGCCUCUCUUAAAUACUUUCCAUUUCUUUGAAAUGUUGGAAUUUGUUAAAUUUUCCCAGUAACUCAUGCUGGAUGAAUUCAUGUUUCAAAUUUAUUUGCUUCUCUUACUUUCUAUGUGCUGAAGCGUCUUAAGAUAGCUAUAUAUGUGUGUUCAGUAUUCUUGCUCUUCUUAAAUGGUUACCUUAACUCUUUCUAAGGUUUUGUUAAGUUUGAUGGUAAAUAAUCAACUGUCCCCUUAUCUAUUUUCUGAUCUUCUUUUUUGCUUAAAUGUGCAACUGUAAUUUAUGAUUACAUUGUUUCAUGGUUUGAAUGUGAAAGAAAUUUGUUAGAAUUGGAAAUUAAUUGUUUUCUCUGUUUCCGUUGUCUUCUAAUUUCGUUGGGCAGAUUUGAGUUGAAUUAUUAAAUGUUGUUUGAGUUUGUUUACAUGCCAAGUUAGUAUCAGCCCUCUUCUUGAUUAUUUACUAAUUUGUUUUCUUUGUUUUCUUUGCAUGAAUUCUCCUUAUUUGAGUCCGAUUUGGACUCCCAUUCUCUUGCAUUUGAUCCUCUUCGAGUCAACCUCCAUGAAGUCGAGAAAGAGUAAAUAAUAUCCUACUGGGUUAGAACCCAAAAAUCAACAGUAACAGCAGCUCAAAAGGCUGAAACAUGAAGAGCAAGAUUGGGUUAAAACCCUUAAGGAAUGGGGCAGCAGUUCGCAACAAUUUCAGCCCCCCAAAAUGGUCGAAUAUGGGCUGGAAAUUUCAGUUUUAUAAUCCACCGUUUAUGUUUAUUUCCUCAGUAUUAUUUUCAUCAUGAAUGCUAACAUUUUUCUGAUGUUUUUACUGACUUGGAUGAAUCCUCAGAAGAGUUAACAUUAUUUAUCAAUUUCCUUUAUCAAAUUCCUUUCCAAGGGGAUGGUUCGCCUAAUUAUUUAUCAACACAGUUUAUUUUUAGGCGACUUAAGCUUAUGGAAUUACUAAAGAACCGUUCAUGUUCUUUCAU